rnacentral:rRNA from 1 species
CCUACGGGGGGCAGCAGUGGGGAAUAUUGCGCAAUGGGCGAAAGCCUGACGCAGCGACGUAGCGUGAGGGAUGAAGGUCUUCGGAUCGGAAACCUCUGUCUGCAGGGAAGAAAGGUAACUGUGCUAAUCAGCAGUGAAUUGACGGUACCUGCAAAGGAAGCACCGGCUAACUCCGUGCCAGCAGCCGCGGUAAUACGGCGGGUGCGAGCGUUAAUUGGAAUUACUGGGCGUAAAGCGCUCGUAGGCGGUAUGUCAAGUCAAUGGUGAAAUCCCCGGGCUCAACGUGGGAACUGCCUUUGAAACUGGCAAACUGGAGUGUGUGAGAGGAUAGUGGAAUUCGAGGUGUAGGAGUGAAAUCCGUAGAUAUCUGGAGGAACAUCAGUGGCGAAGGCGACUAUCUGGCACAUAACUGACACUGAGGAGCGAAAGCGUGGGUAGCAAACAGGAUUAGAUACCCGAGUAGUC